CCUGGUGGCUCAGAUGGUAAAGAAUCUGCCUGCAAUGCAGAAGACCCAGGUUCAAUCCUUGGGUCAGGA
rnacentral:tRNA from 1 species